UGGGGAAUCUUAGACAAUGGGGGAAACCCUGAUCUAGCCAUGCCGCGUGAGUGAUGAAGGCCCUAGGGUUGUAAAGCUCUUUCAGAUGGGAAGAUAAUGACGGUACCAUCAGAAGAAGCCCCGGCUAACUCCGUGCCAGCAGCCGCGGUAAUACGGAGGGGGCUAGCGUUGUUCGGAAUUACUGGGCGUAAAGCGCGCGUAGGCGGAUUGGAAAGUUAGAGGUGAAAUCCCGGGGCUCAACCCCGGAACGGCCUUUAAAACUACCAAUCUAGAGUUCGAGAGAGGUGAGUGGAAUUCCGAGUGUAGAGGUGAAAUUCGUAGAUAUUCGGAGGAACACCAGUGGCGAAGGCGGCUCACUGGCUCGAUACUGACGCUGAGGUGCGAAAGCAUGGGGAGCAAACA
rnacentral:rRNA from 1 species